UACAGAGGGUGCAAGCGUUAAUCGGAAUUACUGGGCGUAAAGCGUGCGUAGACGGUUAUGUAAGUCGGAUGUGAAAGCCCCGGGCUCAACCUGGGAAUUGCAUUCGAGACUGCAUAGCUAGGAUGCGGAAGAGGGAAGUGGAAUUUCCGGUGUAGCGGUGAAAUGCGUAGAUAUCGGAAGGAACAUCAGUGGCGAAAGCGACUUCCUGGUCCAGCAUCGACGUCAGGCACGAAAGCGUGGGGAGCAAACAGG
rnacentral:rRNA from 1 species